CUGUUCAGGACUGAACACAGACCACUCACCAUGGGGCUUGGGCUCAGCUGGGUUUUCCUUGUUGCUAUUUUAAGAGGUGUCCAGGGUGAGGUGCAGCUGGUGGAGUCUGGGGGAGCCGUGGUGAAGCCUGGGGGGUCUCUGAGACUCUCCUGUGCAGCCUCUGGAUUCACCUUCAGUAGCUACCACAUGCACUGGGUCCGCCAGGCUCCAGGGAAGGGCCUGGAGUGGGUGGCAGUAAUAUUGUAUGAUGGAAGUAGCAAAUAUUACGCAGACUCUGUGAAGGGCCGAUUCACCAUCUCCAGAGACAACGCCAAGAACACGGUGUAUCUGCAAAUGAACAGCCUGAAAUCUGAGGACUCGGCCGUGUAUUACUGUGCAGCAGACACAGUGAGAGGAGGUCAGUGUGAGCCCAGACACAAACCUCCCUGCAGGAGGGACUGA